rnacentral:lncRNA from 1 species
AUCCUACCAACAUAGUAGUGAGUAGGGUUAAUUUUGAUGUGCUACGACACGCAUCACAUGCCCUUCUCCUUUCACCUCUGUGCGUACGCCAAGAAUGGGCACUUCUAGCAUCCUUUCUUUUUCCAAAAAAAAUUGAAAAAAAUACCAAAUAUAUUCUUGUCUGAGUUUGAAUUCAAAUAAGAGUCUUAUCAGCAAGGGAUGCC